GAUGAACGCUGGCGGCGUGCUUAACACAUGCAAGUCGAACGAUGAAGCCCAGCUUGCUGGGUGGAUUAGUGGCGAACGGGUGAGUAACACGUGAGUAACCUGCCCUUGACUCUGGGAUAAGCCUGGGAAACUGGGUCUAAUACUGGAUAUGACUUCUCAUCGCAUGGUGGGGGGGGGAAAGAUUUAUUGGUCUUGGAUGGACUCGCGGCCUAUCAGCUUGUUGGUGGGGUAAUGGCUCACCAAGGCGACGACGGGUAGCCGGCCUGAGAGGGUGACCGGCCACACUGGGACUGAGACACGGCCCAGACUCCUACGGGAGGCAGCAGUGGGGAAUAUUGCACAAUGGGCGCAAGCCUGAUGCAGCGACGCCGCGUGAGGGAUGACGGCCUUCGGGUUGUAAACCUCUUUCAGUAGGGAAGAAGCGAGAGUGACGGUACCUGCAGAAGAAGCGCCGGCUAACUACGUG
rnacentral:rRNA from 1 species